rnacentral:rRNA from 1 species
GACAGAGGGUGCAAACGUUGCUCGGAAUCACUGGGCAUAAAGCGCACGUAGGCCGUUCACUAAGUCCAAUGUGAAAUCCCCCGGCUCAACCGGGGAACUGCAUCGGAUACUGGUGGACUCGAGAGUUGUAGGGGUGGACGGAACUCCAGGUGGAGCGGUGAAAUGCGUAGAUAUCUGGAGGAACACCAGAGGCGAAGGCGGCGACCUGGACAGGUACUGACACUCAACUACGGAAAGCGUGGGGAGCAAACAGGAUUAAGAAACC